rnacentral:piRNA from 1 species
UGAAAUGCCCACGAGGGUUUUGUAUC